UGCUGCAGCCCACCCCUUCCCAUCCUUCAAAACCCAGACAAAGGCUAAAGCAACUCCUCCCGCGCCCCUCCUUUUCUCUCCACCCACACAAACACGUACACACGCAUGUGCCAUCUACCCCAAACCCUUGCUCUGAAGUCACAGGCCUGACUUCCAGACUAGGCUCUGCCCCUAAGGAAAUCACCUUUCUGGUCUUAGUCUCCCCAUCUGAAAAUGGCAUAACCAACCUACCUGCCUCAAAUACAAGACCCUGCUUGUGAAGCCGGACUCCUCUGCACCACCCUCGCCACCGACGCCGGUGCGCUAGUCUCCGCUCGCUCGGAUGCACUUGCUGCGC
rnacentral:lncRNA from 1 species